rnacentral:lncRNA from 1 species
CAGGUACCAACCAGGUGUAGUGAUGUAACAGUUAGACAGGUACCAACCAGGUGUAGUGAUGUAACAGUUAGACAGGUACCAACCAGGUGUAUUGAUGUAACAGUUAGACAGGUACCAACCAGGUGUAGUGAUGUAACAGUUAGACAGGUACCAACCAGGUGUAUUGAUGUAACAGUCAGACAGGUACCAACCAGGUGUAUUGAUGUAACAGUUAGACAGGUACCAACCAGGUGUAGUGAUGUAACAGUUAGACAGGUACCAACCAGGUGUAGUGAUGUAACAGUUAGACAGGUACCAACCAGGUGUAGUGAUGUAACAGCCAGCA